rnacentral:rRNA from 1 species
AGAUUGAACGCUGGCGGCAUGCUUUACACAUGCAAGUCGAACGGCAGCGCGGGGCAACCUGGCGGCGAGUGGCGAACGGGUGAGUAAUAUAUCGGAACGUACCCAAGAGUGGGGGAUAACGUAGCGAAAGUUACGCUAAUACCGCAUACGAUCCAAGGAUGAAAGCAGGGGACCGCAAGGCCUUGUGCUCCUGGAGCGGCCGAUAUCUGAUUAGCUAGUUGGUAGGGUAAAGGCCUACCAAGGCUACGAUCAGUAGCUGGUCUGAGAGGACGACCAGCCACACUGGAACUGAGACACGGUCCAGACCUCCUACGGGAGCAGCAGGUGGGGUAAUUUUGGACAAGUGGGCGCAAGCCUGACUCCAGCAAUGCCGCGUGAGUGAAGGAGGCCGUUGGUUGUAA